CACCGCCCGUCACACCAUGGGAGUUGGCUCUACCCGAAGACGGUGUGCUAACCUCGCAAGAGGAGGCAGCCGGCCACGGUCGGGUCAGCGACUGGGGUGAAGUCGUAACAAGGUACCC
rnacentral:rRNA from 1 species